rnacentral:rRNA from 1 species
ACGGAAGGCAGCAGUGAGGGAUAUUGGUCAAUGGGCGGAAGCCUGAACCAGCCAAGUCGCGUGAAGGAUGAAGGUAUUAUGUAUUGUAAACUUCUUUAGACGUAGAGAAAUAAGGGGAUCGUGAUCCCUGAUGCUAGUAUACGUAGAAUAAGGAUCGGCUAACUCCGUGCCAGCAGCCGCGGUAAUACGGAGGAUCCGAGCGUUAUCCGGAUUUAUUGGGUUUAAAGGGUGCGCAGGCGGCCCUGUAAGUCAGCGGUUAAACCGUGGAGCUCAACUCCAUCCCGCCGUUGAUACUGCAGGGCUUGAUUGCGGUCGAGGUUGGCGGAAUUCGCCGUGUAGCGGUGAAAUGCAUAGAUAUGACGAAGAACACCGAUUGCGUAGGCAGCAGACCAGGCCGUAAAUGACGCUCAUGCACGAAAGUGCGGGGAUCGAACAGGAUUAGAUACCCUGGUA